rnacentral:rRNA from 1 species
GUCUAUGAUUAUAUCAUCCUGGACAUGCCUGAUCUUGUCUGAUGGAGAAGCUAAGCAGGGUUGGACAUGGUUAGUGCUGUGAUGGGAAAAUUACAGAGACAAAUUAGAUAAUAUAUC